CAGUCGCCACGGUAAUACGAAGGGGGCUAGCGUUGUUCGGAUUUACUGGGCGUAAAGGGUGCGUAGGCGGAUUGUUAAGUCAGGGGUGAAAUCCCGAGGCUCAACCUCGGAACUGCCUUUGAUACUGGCGAUCUUGAGUCCGGGAGAGGUGAGUGGAACUGCGAGUGUAGAGGUGAAAUUCGUAGAUAUUCGCAAGAACACCGGUGGCGAAGGCGGCUCACUGGCCCGGAACUGACGCUGAGGCACGAAAGCGUGGGGAGCAAACAGGAUUAGAUACCCCAGUAGUCCCUGUCUCUUAUAC
rnacentral:rRNA from 1 species